rnacentral:rRNA from 1 species
UACGGAGGGUGCAAGCGUUGCUCGGAAUUAUUGGGCGUAAAGGGUAUGUAGGUGGUCUCAUUUGUCUGGGGUGAAAGCCUUGAGCUUAACUCAAGAAGUGCCCCAGAAACGGUGAGACUGGAGUCCUGGAGAGGGUCGUGGAAUUCCCGGUGUAGCGGUGAAAUGCGUAGAGAUCGGGAGGAACACCAGAGGCGAAAGCGGCGACCUGGACAGGCACUGACACUCAACUACGAAAGCGUGGGGAGCAAACAGG